rnacentral:rRNA from 1 species
UACGUAGGGGGCAAGCGUUGUCCGGAUUCAUUGGGCGUAAAGAGCGUGUAGGCGGCCAGGUAGGUCGGUUGUGAAAACUGGAGGCUUAACCUCCAGACGUCGAUGGAAACCGUAUGGCUAGAGUCCGGAAGAGGAGAGUGGAAUUCCUGGUGUAGCGGUGAAAUGCGCAGAUAUCAGGAAGAACACCCGUGGCGAAGGCGGCUCUCUGGGACGGUACUGACGCUGAGACGCGAAAGCGUGGGGAGCGAACAGG